UGAGGUCAUUCCCCUUCAAACAAUGCUUGUGGCCUGACAUCACAUGAUGUACACUGUGUAAGCCAACUGAUAUCAAUCACGCCUUGGACUUUGCCUUCCUCAUGCUCAGACAGCUCAGUGCUAGUGCUGGGGAUGACCUACUAUAUUAGGUCAUUAUGCGUGCCUCGUUCCUGUGUGGUGGGCAAAGUUCUUUCAACGAUACGUGGCCUCGGUUUAGCUGUCAUUGCUUUGUAUAGCGACUUCAUUUUUCUUCAAGCAAAGUAAGCAGCACCCAAUCAACAGACUGAGCAGCAUUAGAAGUAUCUGAAGAUCUCUAAGCGUGAGAGGAUGGAAUCUACAGCAGUAUCAGAGGGUCCGGCAGUUCCAGCGGACUGGUCCAAACUGGUACCCGACAUGCCAACCGGUCCCCUAGACCUCUACCGGCAGAAGGCAUCCUUUGACUGGAAG